rnacentral:tRNA from 1 species
GCCGGGGUGUCGAAAUUGGCAAACGAUGUAGACUUAAAAUCUACCGUUCCGCAAGGAGCUUGCGGGUUCAAGUCCCGCCCCCGGCA